UUGCAAAAAUAAUACAAGACAGCAGCACCUAAGAAGAAGAAGAGUAACAAGACAAUUCCUUCAAUGUAAAUUCUAACUGCAACGAGUAAGAUGUACUAGCGACGCACGAAACUUCACAACGGCACGAUCGGCUCUUGUGUAUGCUACGUUCGCUGGACGAAGAAAAGCAUAUCCUGUACGAUCGUUCUACCAGUCGGCAGCGACCGGCCCCCGUAGAACGCAAAGAAAUGUGACCCAACCCACCCGUUCAGCGUUGCGCCGGUGGGCCCGCUGCUUUUCGAAGCAGAAGUGGAGUAUCUACGAUCAAAUGUAAAUUCUGAGGUAGCCGAUUUAAUGCCGUUCGGAAUGCCUGAAAGUAUCAGAGCAUUCAGCUUCGACUCAUUUAAACGGCCAGAAAUCGUUGAACGCUGGAUUUCCCAUUAACGAACAAACUAGUGUCUGAAAUUAGUUAAUAUUAUGAAAUGAUUAUCAUAAUUGAGAUGCUAAGAUCAAUUUUCCGCUUCUUACUUCAUUGCAAACGGCAACAGUUACGCGUGUAGCUUUCUAAAAUUCUAAAAUUCAACGUUUUAAUUACUGAGAUUAUCAAAGAGUAACUCUAACAGCAGAUCUAAUAAAUUUUAUAGAAUAAAAACAAGAUUUGUUUAAAAAUGCGUUGUUUUAAGAUGAACAAGUGUGAAAAACAAAAAACAUCCGUAUGAGGGAUAAAAGAGUCGUCGAUGUGAACUAUUCUCGCGGCUGUCGUAAGCAUUUUAAUGUUUCAUGGGACAGUAGUUCGAAGAUUUAACCGACUUCGUUCGAAUUUCAAUGCUUGGUAUCGGAAAAAAGAAUCGAUCGAAAUAUUGUAUGCAACGUCGUUUUUAUGCUCCUACUUUAAAGAUAUCAGUCUUUAGUAUCAGAUAUAUUACGACUGUUUUGGAAAGCUUUAAAAAUAUCUAUAGUAUUCCUGCAUGAAGAUGAAUAAUUGCUUAGCAGGCGCAGUCGAUCAUUUUACAACGUAUUGCAAGUGAAAACAAGUAAUUGUUAAAAACAUGUAGACGUCAAGAAAUAUAUUAAAAUAUAAGCUAGAAAAAGGCACAUAUUUUUCUGCUAUUAUUAAAAUUAUCAAGUAUGUGCAGCAACUUUACAAUUCCAUUAUACAUAUAUAAUAAAAAGAGUAUCUGUGCAUGCUGUGCGACAUGUGUGCGUCCGAGGUUUCCCGAAUUCACGAUAAAUGGAUAAGAAAACACUGGUGAUGCAAUGUUUUUCCAGAUUAUGAAUCAAUAAGCCUUUACAGAUUUAAAUAUACAACUUUGAUGUAGGAUAUAAUUUACAUAAAAA